rnacentral:rRNA from 1 species
GAUGAACGCUGGCGGCGUGCUUAACACAUGCAAGUCGAACGGAAAGGCUCUUGCUUGCUGCUGUACUCGAGUGGCGAACGGGUGAGUAACACGUGGAUGACCUGCUCUGCACUUCGGGAUAAGCCUAGGAAACUGGGUCUACUAUCGGACAGCACAUUGGCUUGGAUGCCAUGGUGGAAAGCUUUUUGGGUGUGGGGUGAGCUCGCGGGCUUUGCGCUUUUGGGAGGGGUAGUGUCCUAUCCAGGCGUCGGCGGGUAGCCGGCCUUGGAGGGUGUACGGGCCCCUUGGGACUGAGAGAAGGCCCAGACUCGGACUGGAGGGAGCAGUGGGGAAUGUUGCACAAUGGGGGCACGCCUGGUGCAGCGACGCUGCGGGGGGGAUGACGGUUUUCGGGUGGGAAAAUCGCUUCGCUAGGGACAAAGCGUUAUGUGACGGUACCUAAAGAAGAAGCACCGGCUAACUACGUG